GUGUGUGUGUGUGUGUGUGUGUGUGUGUGUGUGUGUGUGACAGUUCUCCUUCAGUAGCAUGGCCUGAAAAUCAUUAACAAAAGGAAGUUACACAGCAUCCUGAGGGAGUUUUUAUUGCUCUUUUGUAGCUCGGAAGAUCUCAAUUAUCUCACAUUGGAGUAUCAACUUUAUCUCAGAUGAUUCUCCUGAACUUUCUAAAACCAACUUGUCAUACAGUACGAGUAUAAAGCUGUAAAAUGAACGUGGAGCAGCUCAAUGUAUCUUAUUUGAGACACUGACACAUUACUGCAUGUUUUUCUCAGAAGCAAAAGCAUAAAGUUUCCAUUUUGAGUAUUUAUUUACAUUGCAAUCUCAUUGCAGUCUAGAAAAAAACAUUAUAAAUAUAUUAAAAAGUUUUUUUGGUAACUCUGUGCUGCCAGUAAGCCUUUAAAAAUAAGCUUAUGUAGUAAUUCAUUCAAGCUAAGCAGUGAUUUAUUAUGUUUCCAACUGUCUGGAUUUGAUCAGAUAGUAUUUCAAGCAUUGCUUUCACGGUCAGAGUGUUUUCAGCAGUUUAUGACAACUGUAAAACUUUAUAAAAGCUUUGAUUUGUUAAAUGUGAACAACUAUGUUUGACAUAAAGCCGUCGUCUAAAUAUACCAGUGUGACUUCUUCAUGUGAAGAUAAAACAGCGCCUGUACAAAAGAAAAGCACAAAUUAGACUUCUUUUAUAUCUCAGUUGUGUUUGCUUACAUUUAUCCCAUGGACAUUUGGGAGAGAGAGCUGAGUAUCCUUUUAUGGAAAAGUAUCAUAUCUUUUAACAUGCAUUCACAAAUAAAGACAAAUAUAGCUGAAACAUUGACCUUGUUUGUUUGUCAGCAGGAUUUUUCCUUGGAGCCUUCAUGCUGUAAUUAAUUAGUUUAAUGUUAACGUUCUUCCAUAAUUUUUGGACAGUUUUCUGUGAAUUAAGGGUAUAGAAAAACAACUUGCAUGACAGUGGUUAUAAUUCCUUCAUUUAUUGUCUAGCCAAGGCAAAGAAGGCGGCUGAGAAGGAAGCCAAAGCUAAGAAACCGAAGCCCACCAAAAAACCCAAACCCCCAAAACCAACAAAGAAACCCAAGCCCCCGAAGCCCACCAAGAAACCCAAGCCUCCAAAACCCACCAAAAAGCCGAAAGCACCGAAGCCCACCACAACAACAACGACUAGAGCAACUAAACCAACCAGAAAGCCAACCAUGGAGGAAGAGGAGGAGAAACUGCUGCUGGAGCUGGGAUGGGACACGUUAUUUCCAACAGAGCCAAAGGAAACAGAGAUUGAGAAACCCAUUGGCCCAGAUCAUGACGUCCACAGCAAGAAAGGCGAAAUUACACCACCUACAAUCAAAGAGCACGAUCCGGAUUACUGGGACGCCCGACGUACGUUUGUAGCCACAAACACACACUCCUAAAAAGGUUGUUUAUUGGCAUCUUUGGCUUCAUGAGGAACAGUUUUUAGACUUUAA
ensembl:lncRNA